ensembl:lncRNA
GCCAGGAUGCCAUUGGCCUUCUUAGCCACCUGGGCACACUGCUGGCUCAUGCUCAGCCGAGCAUCGACCAAUACCCCCAGGUCCGUUUCCUCCACUCAACCAUCCAGCCACUCUGCCCCAGGCCUGUAGCAUUGCCUGGGGCAAAUUGGUGUAAUUCAUAGAGGCAUUACUAUUUGAUUUUGAUUGUUAUUCCACAGCAGAGAAGUUGCAUUGACAGAGUUGGUUUUUUUGAAUGCUACUCUGACAAGCAGAGCUGCUGUCACAUAUAAGUAGAAUAAGAGAAUUCUUGCAGUUGGAAAAGAUUACUAAGAUCCUCUACAUCAUCCCAUCACCAACCUUGCCCACUAAACCAUGUGUGUGUACAUUGCAGACCAGAGCUGUUUGCAUCUGCUAGUAAGGUACUCAUUCUUAUUCUACAUCACUUAUUUGUCAAUCCAGCCAAUUAUUUUUCAGGUUUUUCUUUUUUAACUCCUGUGAUUUGAUGUCCACUGAUGACUUAAAAACUUCUCUGUGUAAUAUAGGUGAGAGUGCAAGACAGUUUUAUUUUACCGGUCUUGUUUCUGCCUUUUAAGUCAAAGUUCUUCUUAAGUGCUUUUUUUUUUUUUUUUGAUUUGGUUUUUUUUUUUUUUUUUUUUUUUUUUUUCUUUUGAGGAAGCUGGUUGAGUUGCUACAAGCCUUGAGAAAGAAGAGCUAAUUGUAACAAUCGGUACUGGAGACCUGAUUAUGAAGACAGGAAGAAGAGGUUAAAGAGGUUCAGAUAAUCUGUGACUCGUUUUAAAGACAAUGUGAGUUCCUAAGAUUCAACUACGAUUACUCUAUGAAGAUGGGUACUGACUGAUAUGAUAUGUUCAGAAUCUGAGUGGCAGCACCCAGCGGUGAGGUUAUUGAAGGAAGCUCCUGUUCCACACACAAAUAUCCACGCUGAUGGAAUGGUUUGGUGUUUGAGAGAUGAUGGAGAUGGUUCCAGAUUGAAUUGGAUGUGUGCUACAAACCAAGUCCGGAAAGAUCACGUGGUAAUCUAUGAAACAGGAUAAAGAGUUCAUGGUGGGGAAACAUACAACAAGUGGGCAAGCAGCUUAGCCCAUCUACAUUUUCUUCGUUUCUGAGAGAACAGGAAAGGGAAGGUAGGACAGACAAAGGACUCAGAGUAUGGUAUGUUUUUCAUGAGUAACUGAAUGAGAAACUAAUAGUUUAAUAGCGUAUUGAUUGAAGUUUAUUACACUUCUUUUGGUAACUUCUUUGUUGCCAUAAAUUCAUGUGACUGUCUUCAUGCAUUAAUUCAGAGAAUGGGAAAAAGGCAAAUAGAAUAUUUUGACAGAACUUCCUCUCCCUUGCAAAAGGUAUUCUUGCUGUAUGCUUGUAUUUUUUUCUGCUUCUAUAUUUAUUGUUUAACAGAAUUCAAAAGAAAAAGAAAAAAUCUAAUUUAAUGUCAUUUGUGAUCUGUACUACUGUUCUUGAGGGUUUGUUCCAGGCUAAUUUUCUUAGCUUAAGGCUACCAAAAUAACUAUUCAUUCUACAGUACCACAUUAUGCAGAAUAUAUUGACUAAUAUUAUGGAGCAAUGAUGAUGCCAUCACAUAGCAUGUGAUAUGAGAAGCACUGAACUUGAUGAAUAGCAUUGUCUGCAAGUACUUUCUGGCUGUGUUGUAAAGGAGUUUUUGACAAAACAUAGUACGUCUUUUACAGCUAGCACUCAAUGUGAGAUAACUUGAAAGUUAACACAGAGAUCGUAGUUUCAAAUACAGUGUUAAAACCUUGCAGAAUUCAUUUAUAGGUCCAUGCAGAUAUUCUCAGUUACGGGGUCAGUAAAUCACUUGAAGAAGACUUUGCUCUGAUGAUGCAACUAAAGUUAGCCUUUAAGUCUUAUUGCUACUUACAGUUGCUAUGAGCAUACGUUUUAACUGAAUUGAGUGGGUUAAUCUUUACUAAUAUCUUUGAUACGUAUGGAGUCACUACAUUUUCUUGUUUUUUUUUUUUUCUUGAAAGAGUAAAUAUUGGCUAGAAGCGCAAUGCAUUUAGUACAAUACAAACCAUA